GCCAGGUGUGUUGGAGCACGCCUGUAAUCCCAGCAACUUGGGAGGCUGAGGCAGGAGGACUGCAAGUUAUCAGGACCCUAUCUCAA
rnacentral:sRNA from 1 species